rnacentral:rRNA from 1 species
UGAGUGGCGGACGGGUGAGUAACGCGUGAGAAUCUGCCUUGGGGUCGGGGACAACCACUGGAAACGGUGGCUAAUACCGGAUAAGCCUUUGGGUAAAAAAUUUAUUGCCCCAAGAGGAGCUCGCGUCUGAUUAGCUAGUUGGUGAGGUAAGAGCUCACCAAGGCAGCGAUCAGUAGCUGGUCUGAGAGGACGAUCAGCCACACUGGGACUGAGACACGGCCCAGACUCCUACGGGAGGCAGCAGUGGGGAAUUUUCCGCAAUGGGCGAAAGCCUGACGGAGCAAGACCGCGUGAGGGAGGAAGGCUCUUGGGUUGUAAACCUCUUUUCUCAGGGAAGAAGCUCUGACGGUACCUGAGGAAUCAGCCUCGGCUAACUCCGUGCCAGCAGCCGCGGUAAUACGGAGGAGGCAAGCGUUAUCCGGAAUUAUUGGGCGUAAAGCGUCCGCAGGUGGCGAUUCAAGUCUGCUGUCAAAGCACGGGGCUUAACUCCGUUAAGGCAGUGGAAACUGAAUAGCUAGAGUGCCGUAGGGGUAGAGGGAAUUCCCGGUGUAGCGGUGAAAUGCGUAGAGAUCGGGAAGAACAUCGGUGGCGAAAGCGCUCUACUGGACGGCAACUGACACUCAGGGACGAAAGCUAGGGGAGCGAAUGGGAUUAGAUACCCCAGUAGCCCUAGCUGUAAACGAUGGAUACUAGGUGUAGCUUGUAUCGACCCGAGCUGUGCCGAAGCUAACGCGUUAAGUAUCCCGCCUGGGGAGUACGCACGCAAGUGUGAAACUCAAAGGAAUUGACGGGGGCCCGCACAAG